AACCCCGACGAGAGGCCGAAGGAGCAAGCCCUAGCUGGUCCGAAUCCCCCCCUCCUCGCCGAACAAAUGUCCGACCGCCGCCGCGACAAGGAGAGGCCCCGCGAGCGCGGCGGCUACGACCAGCCGCGGGAGCGCGACCACGACGCCGACCGCCACCGCGACCGGGACCGGGACCGCGACGUCGACCGCCACCGCGACCGGGACCGCGGCCAGGACAAGGAGCGGGACCGCGACCGCGACCGGGACUACCGCCGCGCCCGCAAGCGCUCCCGCUCCCCCUCCCCCUCGGCCGACAGGGACCGCUCCCGCCGCCGCCGCUCCCACUCCCACUCCCACCCCCACCGGUCCCGCUCCCCCGACGCCGGCCGCCACAAGCGCCGCCGCGAGGUGUCGCCCGUCGCCGACCCGAAGGAGGACAGGAAGCCGGACCCCCCCUCCGCCCCCAAGGCCGCCGAGGAGCCGGCCCCGGUUGGUGACGGGGACGUGGACGCCGAGGAGCUGGAGAUGAUGAAGAUGAUGGGGAUCCCCGUCGGGUUCGACUCCACCAAGGGUAAGUACGUCCCCGGCGCCGACGUCAGCGGCGUGCGCGCCGUCACCAAGCGCCAGCCGCGGCAGUACAUGAACCGCAGGGGCGGGUUCAACCGUCCCCUGCCGCCCGAGGUCAACCGCUGAGGAGGAUCAUGUAUCAAUGCAGUAUACCUCGUUGCCGGAUUGCAAACUUGCAGUGGACUAUUUGACUUCUUUGCCGGCCAUAGCAAGGGUUGAGCUUCUACUGUCUACCAAGCAUGUAUAACCUUGAUGGCUAGUUACUUUGCCAAACUUUGAAGACUAAAGACAUGUAGUUCUCGUUUUCAUCAUUUGCUCUGUUGACAAUCCAGGAAAAGAUAUUGGUGGCGUGUUUUUGGAAAUGUGGUUUAGAAAUUUACAUGAUGUUUCUGCACAUAAUUUGUAUGUUUUUCAGGCAUGCACCACAUGGAAUGGAACUUCUUGUGAUGAUUGCAUAUGUGGCUGCAGCAUUAUUACAGUUAUGAAGAUCAUAAUAUGCUGUUCUAUGUA